UACGAGGGGGGCGAGCGUUGUUCGGAUUCAUUGGGCGUAAAGGGUGCGUAGGCGGCGCGGUAAGUCGGGUGUGAAAUCUCGGAGCUUAACUCCGAAACUGCAUUCGAUACUGCCGUGCUUGAGGACUGGAGAGGAGACUGGAAUUUACGGUGUAGCGGUGAAAUGCGUAGAUAUCGUAAGGAAGACCAGUGGCGAAGGCGGGUCUCUGGACAGUUCCUGACGCUGAGGCACGAAGGCCAGGGGAGCAAACGGG
rnacentral:rRNA from 1 species